UCACCAGUAGCACCUCGAAGCCAAGAUUCAGGAACAAGAAGCAAAACCUCAAGAACUGGUCUAAAGUGACUGAACUAGCAGCCUAAGUCGCUGAACCGCAGGCAGAAAAAUAGGACAGAAACUGUUUAGGACAGUUCCGGCCACCACCAGCCAGAAGCAUCUUUUCCCGGCCAACUUCCCAUCAAAAGUUCCGGCGACCCCCAUUUGUCCUUUUCAAGGCUCAAAAUGGCGGGAAAAUGUGUAAACCCCUGAAUCUAUCCAACUAUCCACUCGACCCCUCUGAAACCCCCAAUUUCGAGACACUCUCCGAGACGUUUCUUCAACUUCCAAACCCUGAAACGUUUCGCUUGUAUUCGCUUCCAAACACCACCGAUCACCUCUUCUUCUUCGACCCAAACAUUCGCCAAGGCUCCCAGGCCAUGCUUGAUCAUCUCAGAAGCGCGAGGUUUCGAUGCCGCACAGCUUGGAUUGCUUUAAUUUGGGCCUGAGACUGUAUUAAACGUUCAGUCUUGGCAGAGUAGUUACUAGCUAGCAAGUGAUCAAGAGGCUUUGAAGAAAUUGGUGGAAGUAUUUCAGAAAUCUCAAGAGCAGAAUAAUCCUCCCACAUAUCUGUGUUUGGCUGAAGGAUAUGUUGAUCUAUACCAUACAUCAAGGUUCCAUGUCUAUUAUCGAUGACGCUUUUGAAUGGUUCUCAUGGUUUUCAGCAACGUAUAUGUUAGAAGCAAGUGUCAUUGGUACAAGAAGUUUAAACAUAUCUGUGAUCAAAUCUUUGGUUAACGAUCAAAUACUUGGUAUUAAUUUCAGAGUCAGUCCUGAUGCCUAACCCCUUAUAUAUCCUUUGACACCUAGUAAGCUCCAGAGCCUAUAUGGGGCUGGCUGCAAGCUGGUUCCUUAUUUUCUUUAGCUUUAAAAUCUACAGAGGUCUUGUGAUCUUGUGCAGUUGACAUUCUGGUUUUCUUUACGAACGAAUCCAACAUAGAGUGCUGGAAGACAAGUAGCUGUGGACUCAAAAAGUUUCACGCCUCAACAUUUUAUUAAGCAAGUGAAGGGCCC